rnacentral:rRNA from 1 species
UGCUCGUGUUUUACCGUGACGUGUCCCACCUCUUCCCAUUCCGAACAGAGAAGUGAAAGCGUCAUGGCCCGAUGAUACUAGCCGCUUCGGCGGCAGGGAAAGUAGGGUACGCGGGCAU